rnacentral:rRNA from 1 species
UACGUAGGGAGCAAGCGUUGUCCGGAAUCAUUGGGCGUAAAGCGCGUGUAGGUGGCCACAUAAGUCCGUUGUGAAAGUCAAAGGCUCAACCUUUGAAAGCCGAUGGAUACUGUGUGGCUAGAGUACGGAAGAGGCGAGUGGAAUUCCUGGUGUAGCGGUGGAAUGCGCAGAUAUCAGGAGGAACACCAAUAGCGAAGGCAGCUCGCUGGGACGUUACUGACACUGAGGCGCGAAAGCGUGGGGAGCGAACAGG